UGGGGAAUAUUGGACAAUGGGCGCAAGCCUGAUCCAGCCAUGCCGCGUGAGUGAUGAAGGCCCUAGGGUUGUAAAGCUCUUUCACCGGUGAAGAUAAUGACGGUAACCGGAGAAGAAGCCCCGGCUAACUUCGUGCCAGCAGCCGCGGUAAUACGAAGGGGGCUAGCGUUGUUCGGAUUUACUGGGCGUAAAGCGCACGUAGGCGGACUAUUAAGUCAGGGGUGAAAUCCCGGGGCUCAACCCCGGAACUGCCUUUGAUACUGGUAGUCUUGAGUUCGAGAGAGGUGAGUGGAAUUCCGAGUGUAGGAGUGAAAUUCGUAGAUAUUCGGAGGAACACCAGUGGCGAAGGCGGCUCACUGGCUCGAUACUGACGCUGAGGUGCGAAAGCGUGGGGAGCAAACAGG
rnacentral:rRNA from 1 species